rnacentral:rRNA from 1 species
UGGCUCAGGAUGAACGCUGGCGGCGUGCCUAAUACAUGCAAGUCGAGCGAACAGACGAGAAGCUUGCUUCUCUGAUGUUAGCGGCGGACGGGUGAGUAACACGUGGAUAACCUACCUAUAAGACUGGGAUAACUUCGGGAAACCGGAGCUAAUACCGGAUAAUAUUUUGAACCGCAUGGUUCAAAAGUGAAAGACGGUCUUGCUGUCACUUAUAGAUGGAUCCGCGCUGCAUUAGCUAGUUGGUAAGGUAACGGCUUACCAAGGCAACGAUGCAUAGCCGACCUGAGAGGGUGAUCGGCCACACUGGAACUGAGACACGGUCCAGACUCCUACGGGAGGCAGCAGUAGGGAAUCUUCCGCAAUGGGCGAAAGCCUGACGGAGCAACGCCGCGUGAGUGAUGAAGGUCUUCGGAUCGUAAAACUCUGUUAUUAGGGAAGAACAUAUGUGUAAGUAACUGUGCACAUCUUGACGGUACCUAAUCAGAAAGCCACGGCUAACUACGUGCCAGCAGCCGCGGUAAUACGUAGGUGGCAAGCGUUAUCCGGAAUUAUUGGGCGUAAAGCGCGCGUAGGCGGUUUUUUAAGUCUGAUGUGAAAGCCCACGGCUCAACCGUGGAGGGUCAUUGGAAACUGGAAAACUUGAGUGCAGAAGAGGAAAGUGGAAUUCCAUGUGUAGCGGUGAAAUGCGCAGAGAUAUGGAGGAACACCAGUGGCGAAGGCGACUUUCUGGUCUGUAACUGACGCUGAUGUGCGAAAGCGUGGGGAUCAAACAGGAUUAGAUACCCUGGUAGUCCACGCCGUAAACGAUGAGUGCUAAGUGUUAGGGGGUUUCCGCCCCUUAGUGCUGCAGCUAACGCAUUAAGCACUCCGCCUGGGGAGUACGACCGCAAGGUUGAAACUCAAAGGAAUUGACGGGGACCCGCACAAGCGGUGGAGCAUGUGGUUUAAUUCGAAGCAACGCGAAGAACCUUACCAAAUCUUGACAUCCUUUGACAACUCUAGAGAUAGAGCUUUCCCCUUCGGGGGACAAAGUGACAGGUGGUGCAUGGUUGUCGUCAGCUCGUGUCGUGAGAUGUUGGGUUAAGUCCCGCAACGAGCGCAACCCUUAAGCUUAGUUGCCAUCAUUAAGUUGGGCACUCUAAGUUGACUGCCGGUGACAAACCGGAGGAAGGUGGGGAUGACGUCAAAUCAUCAUGCCCCUUAUGAUUUGGGCUACACACGUGCUACAAUGGACAAUACAAAGGGCAGCGAAACCGCGAGGUCAAGCAAAUCCCAUAAAGUUGUUCUCAGUUCGGAUUGUAGUCUGCAACUCGACUACAUGAAGCUGGAAUCGCUAGUAAUCGUAGAUCAGCAUGCUACGGUGAAUACGUUCCCGGGUCUUGUACACACCGCCCGUCACACCACGAGAGUUUGUAACACCCGAAGCCGGUGGAGUAACCUUUUAGGAGCUAGCCGUCGAAGGUGGGACAAAUGAUUGGGGGUGAAGUCGUAACA